UACGUAUGGAGCAAGCGUUAUCCGGAUUUACUGGGUGUAAAGGGAGCGUAGGCGGCUUGUUAAGUCUGAUGUGAAAACCCAUGGCUCAACCGUGGGAUUGCAUUGGAAACUGAUGAGCUUGAGUGUCGGAGAGGUAAGCGGAAUUCCUAGUGUAGCGGUGAAAUGCAUAGAUAUUAGGAGGAACACCAGUGGCGAAGGCGGCUUACUGGACGACUACUGACGCUGAGACUCGAAAGCGUGGGGAGCAAAC
rnacentral:rRNA from 1 species